GGGCCAGUAGGUUGGUCGUGCCACCGGUACGUACUGGUCUCACUGAUUCCUCCUUCCUGAAGAACCGUAAUGCCAUUAAUUUGGUGUUGCGGGGAAACAGGACUGUUACUUUGAAAAAAAUAGAGUGUUUAAAGCAAGCUAACGCUUGAAUACAUUAGCAUGGAAUAAUGAAAUAGGACGAUCGAUCCUAUUUUGUUGGUUUCUAGGAUUGACGUA
rnacentral:rRNA from 1 species